rnacentral:lncRNA from 1 species
CUUUAGUGAAGAAGGAAGAAAAGGAACAAAGUUCUCCUCCUCCACUUCCAAGAUAAUACAUCAAAGAAAGGUCAUCCGUUGAGUUGUUUCCCCUACUCCUCUCCUUUCAUCCAAGCUAAGGAAAAGAGACAUCCACCUAGCAAAGGUGCCUCUGAAAUGUUCUGCUGAAACUUCUCUUGUUCUCAACAUUCCUGUUAGCAGAUGCACAGCCUCCUGUCAUUCCUGGAAACAUGGAGUCAGAAGGAAGUUCAGAGAUUUCUACAACCCAGCUGUCUGGACUGGAGUAAGAUUAUAAACCAAAGUUCUAGCAGAACCCUCCUGGGCUUAACAUUCUCCAAAAAAUUAAGGAUUCCAUAGCCAACCAGAGAGACCUGAACUGAGAAAUAAGUUGCUGUGGUUGUGAUUCAAGGUUUGUCUUUCUUCUCUGGUAUGCAGACACUUUUGAAUGUUCCUCAAAUCAGUUUCUAUUCUGGCUUCUUCAGUGGCUGCCAGGUGGAAUUUAUC